rnacentral:pre_miRNA from 1 species
CAAGUACUCCCUCCGUCCGGAAAUACUCGUUGGAGAAAUGAAUGUAUCUAGACAUAUUUUAGUUCUAGAUGCAUCCAUUUUUAUCCAUUUCUCCGACGAGUAUUUCCGGACGGAGGGAGUAUAAG